CAAAAUCAACAUUUUCUAGUGCGCAUGUGCGUGUUACGUGUGACGUGCAUGCCUUCAAGAAGGAGGGACAUGGACCAAGGAAAAAAGACACACGUGUCACGCAACAGAUGGAGCCACCUAGCAAGGGCGUGAUGCAUCUUUCUCUUUUUCGCCGAUAAAAGCAGCCCCAAGCCCCCUUAGUUCCACACAUCAAAAUCCUCUCACUUUCUCUCGACUUCUCUAGGGAUUUUCCCUCUUUUGAUCCCAGUAAUACUCGAGUAUUAGGCGGAAGCUAUAGGUGUGUAAAGCACACUUCAAGGGUGAGUUUCAUGACUCUUUUUCAAAGCAUUUCUCAAAUGUAGGGGGAUAUAUGUUAAAUUAUUAUUAUAUAAGUACUCUCGAUGCAUUAUAAAGUUUUGUACAACAUAAUUAUUUUAUAUCGAUACUCUGCCCAAAUAAAAUAAUAGAUAUUAUACCCUAUCGUUACUCUACUAAAUAUUUAUAGAUAACAUUGUACCUAUUCACUACUUUGCUAAAUGUUUAGAAAUAAUAAUAUUCCAGGUAGAUACCCUACCCAAAUUUUAUGGAUAAUAUUAUAGCGAGUCAUUACUCUGUUUAACUUUUGUGAAUAAUAUCAUACUAUAUCGUUAUUCUGCCCAAAAUUUCAUAUAUAAUAUUUGUAUAUUAUGUCAUUACUCUGCUCGUAUAAACGAAUAAUUGUAGUAUAUUAUAUUGUGAUUUCGCUCGUUCCAAACAGAUAAUUGUUGCAUAUUAUGUGGUCACUCCGCUCGUUUCAAACCGAUAAAACUCGUAUAUUAUGUCGUCAUUAUGCUCGUUCCAAAUUGAUAAUUGUUGUAUAUUAUGUCGUCAUUCCUCUCGUUUCAAAUGGAUGAUUGUUAAAUAUUAGGUCGUCGUUUCGCUCAUCUCAAACAGAUAAUUAUUGUAUAUUAUGUCAUCACUCUGUUAGUUUGGCUUGGAUAAGAUAUCUAUAAUCAUAAAAUUAAUUAUAUUUAUACAAUACAAUAUUGAAAUCCUUUUUACAUUAAUACUAGUCAAGUAGUUGUUAAAGGAGACAAAUUAACACAUCUCAGCUAAUUAGUUUUUAGCUAAGACCUUGGCCUAUAAUCGUUAAUCUUAAGUGACCGAGAGAGUUAUGUAUAUAUCUAUAUGCGGUUGACACCUCCACCCGCGGUUGCUAGCUAGAACCCCGGCAGGGAUAUCUGUCUAAACUUUACGGUGAAACGUCGUGCAGGGCAAAUUUCUAGUCAGAAGCCCGACUAUGGGAACUCAUUGUAACUAUAAUUGGUAUGUAUUUGACCCAAGAGUAGCAUGGUCUAUUUGGGUUGCAUUCACCAGAACAAUCUGAUAGAAUGGAUAUUUGAGAAAUAGGUUAUUUAUGAUUUAUUAAUAUAUUACAAGUAUAAUAUAUUAAUUGUGAAUUAAUAUUAUUUAAUUAGUAUUAAUCAAGAAUUAAUUUGGAAUUAAUUUAGUGAUAAAAAAAGAAUAAUUAAAUUAACAUGGACUUAUUAUGUAAAUCAGUGAUAUAUAUUGUUUGGGCUAUUGAUCCAUGACGGGGUAAGUUUAUGUAAGUAUCCAUGAAGAUUUAGCCCACAUUAGAUAUGGAUCAUAACCAAUGUGUAUGGAUUAGGGUUUACCCAGGACUCUUGGAAUCCUACAAUAUAUAUAUAUAUAUAUAUAUAUAUAUAUAUAUAUAUAUAUAUAUAUAUAUAUAUAUAUAUAUCAAAUGAUUCCAAGAGUCAUCAUAUGUUAUCGCUUAGCUAAAAUCGGCCCAAAGAGUUCGAAGAAGAGAGAUAACUGAUUUUAGAGUGUCUAGCGUCUCUCUCAAAGUCGUCCUUUGUUCAUGGUGUUUGUGAACCAUUUGAGGCAUCACACUUGAGGUGCGAAGCUCUUGAAUAGCCAAAAAUACAAUCUACAAUAAAGAGGUAUUAUUCUAACUAGUUUUAUGAUUCAUGUACCAAAAUUGUAUUCUAGUUUUAGGCUUCAUGCUUUGGAAAUUUUAUUGCAUGUAUAACUAGAGAAAACCUAGAUCCAAAGCUAUUAGGGUUGUAUGUGCACAAUAGCAGUGUUAUAGUACACAAAACCCAACAUUGGUAUUAGAGCUUAGGGUAGUUUCUGUUAUAUAGUUGCAUUUGGAAAUUGUUCAAAGUUGAAAAAAAUCUGAAAAAAGGCCUUCUGCCAGGCUGAACUCGCUGAGUCCAUUGAUGAACUUGACGAGUCCAAAUCCUGGCUCGAAGAGUUGCACUGGCAAAUGGCAGAUUUUCGGGUUUUUUGGCCUAUAUAGGAUUGCGAUCACUACCACAAACUAUUUUGUAUCAUAAAAUCUAUUUUUUCUGAUAUGGUAUUGAUUAUACUUAUCCAAUGAAAAGAUAAUUGUCAAAGUUUUAAGAUAAUUGUUGGUUAUAUGAUAAACAAAGUACUUGUAAAUUGUUGAUAUGAAUUAUCUUGCCUUAUGAGUUAAAUUAGAUGAAUCCUAGAUUAUAUGAUAAUUCUAUUUGUUAAAAUUCAUCUAAAUGUUUUUUAAUGACUUCCAUAACUUGUCCUCAAAUUAUGGAACAUGAAAAGUUUCAUCCAUUAAAAUAACAUUAAACUCAUAAGUUAUGGAAUUCAAGAGUCUUGGAUGGUUACAAAAGUUGUCAUCAAGAUGGAAUCCAAAAGGUUUUGAAGAGUUUCAAAACAUUCCCUCAAGUUUUGGAACUUGAAAAGUUUAGUUAAAAGUUUUUAAUUUUUAAUAUUGAAUUCUAAAACAUCUAGUAAUUGAAAGGUUUCAAAAUAUUUUUAAUUUUGAAUUUUUAAUAACCUAGAUGCCUUGAAUAAUUCAAUUACACCUUAUGGACUUUAAUAAAUGAAUUAAAAUUUUUAAUUAAGAGAGAAGUUUAAUAAAUCUAUAAUAACAUGGUUUCGGAUUAAUUAAAUUAAGAACAUAAUUUAUCAAUAAAUUAAACCACCAAGUAUUUUAAAUAUGUAAAAUACACCCUUAUACUAAUUCAAAUGUUUAAUAUAUUAUAUGUAUAAGUAAAAUGUCAGUCUUACCAUUAGUAGGUCUCAUUUACGAAGUCUGUCUAUAACAGGGGGUAUAAGGUUACUACCUAUAAAAUGGUGAUUUAAUUGAUGUCCACUCUCACCUACCGCUUCCUUGACUGGUGGAUGGUCGUUAGCCGAACGGGUAGGAUAGGAAACUAAUUCUCAUUAAAAGUAUAAUGAAAAUACCAAGUAACUAAACACUUAUAAAUUCCCAAUCUUAGUUACUUAGGAAAAAAAUGUGAAUUUGCUGCUAACGCAUGAAAUUGCACUUUACACCUUGUUAAGUCGUUAGUGGAGCGUGUGUGGUUAACUGGCACACUAAUCUGGGACUGACAAUGUGUGGCAAAGGGUAGCUAGAUGUUAAUCAUGGAUCAAUGGAGCGUGUGUGGUUAACCGGCACAUUGAUUGGAUGAUUUGUAACAUUGAGUGUACCAAGCUAAUUUGCAUGGUUAUUCACACAUUGUUUGUGAUCCCCGGCAUCCCAGUCACAAACUUGAAGGGCAUAAUCGAUAUUAAACAUGCCAUUGAAAAGUUCAAUUAAUCUUAAAAGAAUCUAGGAAUUUAAUCCAUUUAAAACUUAAUAAUCAAUUUCGUUUUUCAUGAUGGAAAUUAGUAAAUCGUCAUUUACCUACCUUCAAAUAUUUACAAUUGGAUUACGACACCCCUCUUCCGAAUUGUAGAAUAUUGUGUUGGGUCCUAGACUUAAUAUUUCAUUUGGGUGUUAUAUUAAGGACUUAAAUAACUAACUUAAAUUUCUCACAUUAUAGAUGUUUAGGUCAGACAACUAUGGUCUUUCCGAAUCUUAUGGAAAAAGCUUUCCUCAUGAAGAUGAUAUUCCAUAAGACAAUAAGGUGAAAGAUUAAUCCCUUCUUCGUGCUUUAGUGGAACUUCACUUCCUCCACCUCCUCCAAUAGUUCUCCCUGACCCACAAGUUCAAAGACUUGAAAAGUUCAUGGUCACUCAAACCCUAUUGGCUACCAAACACCAAGAUGGAAGGUUUGUGUGUGCACGUGUCUUGGAGAUGAAGUCAUACAUUGAUAAGCUGGAAAUGUUAGGAGUCAUUGUCUCAAGGAAGUUGGUUUUUGACUUGGUUCUUCAGUCAUUUUCCGAGUCGUAUAGUCAGUUUGUUAAAGACUACUAUAUGACAGACCGCAACGUGACCCUUAUUGAUCUUACAUAUUUACUAAUUGCUGCUGAAUCAACAAUGAUUUGGCGCACCGUUAAUGCGAAUUUGAUUAGAAGAUCUACUUCCCAAACUUCCAUGGACAUUGACAAUGGCAACAUUGGAAAUCCAGAAAAGUCUUUUCAUCCCAAUGAGAAAGAAUGAAAGAGAAAGGCUAAGUCUAUGAUUGUCCCAUGUACCGUUUCGAAAGAGUCUGUUUGUUUCUAUUGCCAAGAGAAGGAGAAUUGGUUGCGAAGCUGCCAUAUCUGCUUGAAGGAUCAUAAGGAUGGUAAAGUCAAAAAGUUUGACUCUGCUUCAGGAUCAAAGGAAGCUUAAAGGAAAAGCAUGUUGAGUCUGAUCGUGAGGAGAUGGAUUUCGAUCGCAUGGUUAAAUCAUCAGAUUUUUGAGUUGAUGCUAGGAGUUAUGAUAGAUUGCUUAGGAAUAUUUAGAAACAUAAUUUUCAUAUGUACUUGCGUUGUAAGGAAAGGUUUUCCGCAUUUUAUAAAUAAAGAGAAAUUUUGAUUUUAUCUUA